GACUUGAUGGUGUAGUUGGUAACACCUCGACUUGAUCUUCUUCGAGUAGCCACUGGCUGCUUGGGGAAUUCCAUCGGAAUUCCAUAAUCAAAAAUGUUGAAGCCCUGCGUUCGAAUCGUGGUUAAGUCA